GGGGACGUGGCGGAAUUGGCAGACGCGCUAGACUUAGGAUCUAGUGCCGCAAGGCGUAAGGGUUCAAGUCCCUUCGUCCCCACCA
rnacentral:tRNA from 1 species